rnacentral:rRNA from 1 species
UACGUAGGGUGCGAGCGUUAAUCGGAAUUACUGGGCGUAAAGCGUGCGCAGGCGGUGCUGUAAGUCCGGUGUGAAAUCCCCGGGCUUAACCUGGGAACUGCAUUGGUGACUGCAUCGCUCGAGUAUGGCAGAGGGGGGUAGAAUUCCACGUGUAGCAGUGAAAUGCGUAGAGAUGUGGAGGAAUACCGAUGGCGAAGGCAGCCCCCUGGGUCAAUACUGACGCUCAUGCACGAAAGCGUGGGGAGCAAACAGG